rnacentral:sRNA from 2 species
CCACCGGGCGCGCCGAGCCUCGUUCCACCGGUGGGAUGACGAGAAACAUCUGGGAACGAGGACGGGGGACCCACCUUCCCAUCCGGGAACCGGACGUCGACCGACGUCCUUGGGGUUAAGUCCGCGGCCACACCGGCCAUAGCGACCGAGCACCUCUCGCUCGAACCCGACAGCUGACUUCGCAGGCGCGUGGAGAGAGGGAAC